rnacentral:rRNA from 1 species
GAUGAACGCUGGCGGCGUGCCUAAUACAUGCAAGUCGAGCGAAGCGGGGACGGGUGAGUAACACGUGGAUAACCUCCUAUAAGACUGGGAUAACUUCGGGAAACCGGAGCUAAACCGGAUACUUAUACAUGGUUCCGCUCGGCAUUAGCUAGUUGGUAAGGUAACGGCUUACCAAGGCCACGAUGCAUAGCCGACCUGAGAGGAUGAUCAGCCACACUGGAACUGAGACACGGUCCAGACUCCGACGGGAGGCAGCAGUGGGGAAUCUUCCGCAAUGGGCGAAAGCCUGACGGAGCAACGCCGCGUGAGUGAUGAAGGUCUUCGGAUCGUAAAGCACUGUUAUUAGGGAAGCGGUACCUAAACAAGAAGCACCGGCUAACUCCGUGCCAGCAGCCGCGGUAAUAC